ACGGCUGCUCCCCUCCUUUCCUCCCGCCACAAGCGCUCGCUGUGGUUCUGGCAGCGAAGUGCGAGACUGGGCUCGCCAGGCGGAAGUGGUUGGAGACUGCGUGUUUUCCUAGAAAGUCCUCGACCUUCGUCGGGGAGAGGAGGGGAGUGAUAAAUUGGAAGGCGGACAAGCGACAAGUGCGGUACUGGAAAGACCCAAACAUACUUGGUUGUGACCUCAGGACUCAAUAAAAUAAACAGCUGGAAAUAAGCAGACUAGUGUAAGAGUGAAUUGAAAAGAAAACCCAAGGUCACAUCUCCCAAGAAGCAGUAAUGUUCCAGCAAUAAGAAAAGGACAGUUUUUUGUCUUUUGCAUGGUGAGCCUUAUAUGAAUUACAUCAAUUUUGUCACCAAUAUCCAUCAUCAGAACAUUUUGAUUCUACAUAACACAUUGCAAAUGGUCACAACAAUCAAGACUAUAUCCAUAGAUGUCCCAGAAAUAAUAUCUGACUAUACAGAGCAGCAUUACCAAGCCACCAAGAAGUCUGCCUAGUAAUGACAAUGAUAACAACAGCUAACACUUAGGAUUUGAUUUAGGACAAAUUGUUAUUUGGAUGGAUGCUUGUCUAUUGAGAGAGUAAUUGUUAAACUAAAGGAAACUGGUCACAAAUACUUUAGCAGUGGCUAUAAAUGACCAGUGGGCCAAGGAUUUUGAGAUCGUGAGAGACUUCUCCGGGAAUGUUGUCAUUCAUUUCACUCCAGUGUGGCUCUUUUCCUCCAUCUGCGCUCACUUUUCUAGGAGAACUAUGGCCACUAUGGAGAAUAUGAAAACAUUGCUGAAGGAGGUGAAAGCCAUUUCAGAAGAAGAGUUAUAUAUUAGCUUUUGGCAGUGACAGCGUUAUGGGCACGGACAUUCAGCCUUUCCAGUUGACUGCUUUGAAGGGGCAAUGUUCACGUGGAAGUAUACCUCCUAGUACGUUUGCUAAAAUAAAAUCAGCUUCAUUACCUAAUAACAUAAAUGACUUUGGGAGAAAACUCUGAGUCUCAUGUUUUAUUUUUCCUGAUAAUGCUGUUCAAUUAGGGCAGACUUUGUGGAAAUUCUGAUUUCAUUACCCAUCACUGCUGCAUGAAAAUACGCUUUCUGA
rnacentral:lncRNA from 1 species